ACACCAGAAUCCAAUUGCCAAUUCCCUUCAGGUAAACAAUCUUCCACAAUGCAUUCCACUUGUUCCAAAACACAGGCGCAGUAAAUGAGAUAAGAAUUGUUUUUCCUUUCUCUGAGGUUCAGAGAAUGUGAAUCUCAGAAAAUCCUUGGGAAGUUGUGCCUUGCUUUUCUCUGUGAAGACAAAUGCAGCCACAUGCGUGAAUUCUUUUUUUCUUCCGUUCCCUGAGACAAAGAAGGGCAGCUGCCAUCUUUGCCUCCCAGCCACAUGGUAUUCAGUCCUCUCAUUGGCAAAAAGGGAUUAUUGGAGCCCUUCUCUUUAGAAGAAAUGCUCAUUUCCAGGUAACAGAUUCUACCCAGAUGGAUCCUUUGGCCUGGAUGAGACUAGAGUGCACCCAGGAAUCCAUAACUUUAAAAAUAUGAUGACAUCUGCUGUACUGUGCUUAUUCUUAUUUGUAUCUUGUUUUUCCAUAUCCUAAGAAUGGAACAAUAACCAUAUCAUUUGUCGUGGUUUGGCCUGGAAGUGUGUUUCUGGAAGAGUCUAAGUCAGACCAAUCAGUGGCCAAAUUCGAAAUUGGCAUCUGGUGCUGGCCACUGAGGUUUGGAUACGCCUCUGAGAACACACAGGGGUUAAAAGCAGGAGCUUCCCAGAGAACUUCCUCUUUGGGAAUCUGGAGUUGGUGAGUGGAGUCUGGACCUCUCCCCUGCCCAGCUGCGUCUGGGUGGGGGAGGGGGAGGCCAUGCAGCCUGUGGGGAGGAGGCCCAGGGCCCCAAAAGGUGCAGGGGUGGAGGUUAUUAGACCAUGCAGGGGUGGAAGAGACUUGAGAUGUCUGGGCAGCCCCCCCGGAGAGAGAGACAGAGACUGUGCUGGCAGCUCAGCUGGCCAGAAGCGGGGGAUGCGGCAGCUGUGGGAGUCCUUGGGCAGGCAGAAGUGAAGAUUUUAAUCCCUUUGUAGAAUAAUGGAAACCUUACAAAUACUGAAUCCUCCUGAAUCAGAAUGAGGAGAGAGAGAUGAGAGAUGAAAUGGGCAAGCGUGAGGAAAGCUGGAAGAGGAGAGAAGAAUCCAAUGUGGAAGAGAUGAUGGAGUAGCCUUGGGCUGGACUCUUUCUUGUAUAGCCAUGGACAGACCCGUGGUUUUUUUUCCCUGUGACCCAGAGACUGUAUUUAGGGGGAGGCAACACCUUGGAGUCAAGAGUGAAGCAGCGGCGUGAACACAGACGGCUGAGGAGGGUGUGGGAUGCCCUCUGUCUCCACGGAGAGGAAGAUCUCUGUUCAUGUGGCCCCUCGGCCCCAGGGGGUGAAACCUGGGGGGGACUGGUGUCCCAAAGUUGAGAGACUGCUGCUUCUGGAAGUGGGUGGAGCAUCUUUAAACGGGGAGCCCUAAAAGCAGUCCUGGCCCGUGUCCAGUGGUGAGAGCGCUGGACAUGGGGGGGGAAGAAGUCACGAGGGUCAAAUGUUCUCUGAGUGGGGCCAUGGGUGACACGGAAGCACAGGAGAUUUCAAUUGUGCUUCCAGGGGAAGCCUAUGAUGC